rnacentral:rRNA from 1 species
GAUGAACGCUAGCGGCAGGUCUAACACAUGCAAGUCGAACGGUAACAUAGACUGCUUGCAGUCUGAUGACGAGUGGCGCACGGGUGCGUAACGCGUAUGCAACCUACCUCUAUCAUGAGAAUAGCCCGAAGAAAUUCGGAUUAAUACUCUAUAAUAUAUGUCUUUCGCAUGUUAGACAUAUUAAAGCUUCGGCGGUUAGAGAUGGGCAUGCGUGACAUUAGCUUGUUGGCGAGGUAAUAGCUCACCAAGGCAACGAUGUCUAGGGGGUCUGAGAGGAUUAUCCCCCACACUGGUACUGAGACACGGACCAG